CGGGCGCGUUCCGCAGUCGGUGUUUGGGACGCUGGGUGUUCGGAGGCUCGCUCUCUGCUCCGGGUUUGGUAUCACAGCCCAACCCUCCCCGGAGUCCGGGACGGACAGGGCACGCGCCCGUGUCUGUGUGUCAGCGGGACUCAGGACAGAAGCGUCCUCUCGCUACCUUUUUUUCUUCCUUUUAUCCAAAGAAGGGGGCAGCUCUCACGCUUGCCUUCCUGUCGCCCCGUUGGGAGCGGGGUUGGUGUGCGGAGUGGUUCGUCUUUUUUUCUUUUAAACUUGUGAGCGCUUUUUUUUUUUUCCCCUCCCCCUUUUUUAGGCUUAGUGCCGUCUGGACUGGUUUCCUCGGUCCCUGACUAACCGCUUUCUGCCCCUUCUCUCGCCACCCCCGCCCAAGGUCGCCCCUCCGCCCUCGCCCCUGGCCCGGGGUGGGUGGGAAGCUUUGUCCGGCUCCCUCCCCACCCGAGUCUCCGCAGCGUAGCCGCACCUGCCUCAAUAUGAACGGGGUCAGGGACCCCCCUCUUUUUAUAAAAGAUAUUAAGCCCGGACUGAAAAACUUAAAUGUCGUCUUUAUUGUCCUGGAGAUAGGACGCGUGACCAAAACCAAAGACGGCCAUGAAGUGAGAUCAUGCAAAGUAGCAGAUAAAACUGGCAGCAUCACUAUUUCCGUGUGGGAUGAAAUCGGAGGUCUUAUACAGCCAGGGGAUAUUAUUCGGUUGACCAGAGGGUAUGCAUCCAUGUGGAAAGGAUGUCUGACACUUUAUACUGGAAGGGGUGGAGAACUUCAGAAAAUUGGGGAAUUUUGUAUGGUUUAUUCAGAAUUGCCAAAUUUCAGUGAACCUAACCCAGAUUAUCGAGGACAACAGAACAAAGGGGCACACAAUGAGCAGAAGAAUAAUUCCAUGAAUAAUAGUAACAAUGUGGGUACAGGUACAUUUGGACCAAUGGGAAAUGGGGUUCAGACUGGCCCAGAAGCGAGGGGAUGCCAAUUUUCAUAUGCUGGUAGAAGCAAUGGCCGGGGACCUAUAAAUCCACAGCUACCAGGAACAGCUAAUAAUCAAACAGUCAUGACCACAAUAAGUAAUGGCAGGGACCCUCGGAGAGCCUUUAAAAGAUGACCUAUGCCAAAUACUCACAUGUAGUUUUUAAACUACAUGCCCUACUUGAACACUUAUUGCACUUUUAUUUAUUGUUAACUGUGAAAACUGUCCUUUAUCUGUUUCUUUUUAUGUUUUUGGUUUGUUAACAAGAGUGGUUUGUUUUUUAUAGAAGAACUAUUAAGCUGCUCGAGUCUCCUAUUGAAGAAUGGGAACACUCUGAAGAAUAGGGGCAUUUAUUUUUAGAGCAAAAAGAUCUUUGGAUAUCCUCUAAAAAACCUGCACCCAUUUCAUGGGGAAGCCUCCAAAACCAAAGCAAAGUGAGUUACAAUUCAUAUUGAAUAUUUGCCUUCUCAGCCUCCUCGGACAGUACUCAUCAAGAAGUUAAGAGGAAGAAAGUUUCCCACCUUCCCCCUUCCUGGCGCUUUCAGCUAACAACUUCCUAAGUUUAAACACCUACUGAAAACAAAGGCCAUUUGAUAUAGAAAUACACACUACUGAGUUUGGGUCCCACUUUAUAUUUCUAAGUCAGUUCUGAAGUGGAUUGAAGUGAAUUGAAAUCUCAUUAAGCAGGUGGCCCCUUCUCUCUGGGCAGGUUCAUUGGGGGGUUACUGUAAUACAGACUUGGAAACAUGAAACCCAUAAAGCAAGGUGGUGGUACAUAUUAGUGAAGCCUGCAGGAUGCUUUCCCAUGGACAUUUAUGCCAACUUAUGUUUGCUUGGUUCCUAUAGUUUUAGUAAUUGCAUUUUAAAUUCGAGGACAGUUUAACUUGAGGCUCCCCUAUCACUGAGAACUGAGUAUUUGUCACUUGUAGUUUUAUCUUUUAACAUUUUAAGAGAAUGUUUAAUUUGCUUGAUUGAGUAAUAAUGCUGAGGGAAUGAUACUAAAAACAAAUAGAUGCAAGGUUAGUAAGAUCAAUGAUCUAUAUGAACAUGUAAAGUAAUCAGAAGGUGGUUAACCGGCCCUAGAAAGUUUUCUCAGAAGGUACAAAUUUGAGAGUAUUUUACAUCAGUCUUAAGACAUAGUAGCAGCUCUUAGUUUAUAUGGAUCAGACACUCCAAUUUAGUCACUGACAUGCCUGCCUUUUUCUUAUACCUUAAUAAUACAUUAUCAUAAUGUACCAUAAUGACAGAUUGCUCUAAGCAGUUGUAGGCUGCUGUGACUCUUAAUUAAAGAGACUUUAUUCACAAAGGUUCUAGAAACAACAAACAAGAAAACCACGUGAAAAGCAGUUGUUAACUUAAGACUUUCACACCAAAGUCUGUUUAUUUCUCUAGACUUGUUUUUUGGGUAGCUUCUGCUAUGAUGCUGUUUUUUUUUUUUUUUUAAAUCUUUUCCUUCUGUUCAUUUUGUCCCCUAUCCGAUGGAAGUGAACAUUUCUAGUAGAAGAGAGUCACAUUUCUCUGGUACAGGGUUAAUGAUGAGUAAAAGCAGAUAUACUUGGCCAUAGUGACAAUCUUGAGUAUUGAGGUUCCAGCCAAUUAUUAAAUAGAUGUUGGGGUAAACAGUCCCACAUUUCACAAAGUAGUCAUAAUGACUAACAGUUGAGAUACGCUUUUGAGGAAAUCUAAUUGUGACCUUGGGAAAACAGCACUAACCUGAAUGGUAUGUUGUUAGGACUUGGGGAGAAACUAGAAAAACUUUCCAGGUGUGUUCAAGUUUUUUCCAAGUCUCUUCAGGUUUACUUCAUUAGGGAUGCAUCAGAAUUUGUUCCAAUGCUGUGAUCACAGUACUCCAGGUUUCUGAGCUAAAAGUGUGUAAUGAUGUUUCUUAAAGCACUAAUCACAGAUGAGAGAAUCAAGUCCAGACCAUCUGACAAGCCAUUCAGGUAGUGUUUCCUCAUUAAGAACAUUAGGUCCAAAGAUACUCCUAAGACCUGUUUACCAUUGAGAUAAUCAGUAUGGUGAAAAUGAGCAUUUAAACAAGUUUUGACUAGUAGACAUUCCAUUUAUCUUUUUCAAGGCCUUGGUAAGUAAUACAUGUCUUUAAAAAUCAGAUCUUUAACCAAAAUUUGAGUACAUUUUUGUUUCAUGCCAACAAAAUUUAUACUUCUGGACAUGGCGAGUUCAGUUUCUUUGUCCACAUACUGGUACUGAAUAAAACUCUCAAAGAAUGGUUUAUAAACCUAUAAGAUUUUCCCCAGGAACUUGUUAGGUGUAUGGAUUAUUUCUGUGCUCCACCAGAAGAAUGUGUAAGUGUAGGUUGGAGAGAGCUGCACUUAAAGUCCCUGAAGAUUUUUGUCUCCUGUCCUUGAUAUUAACAGAAAUAACUUUAUCUUGAAAUAAAUGUACACAUGCACAUACCAGUUUAUUUUUGUAAGGUUAGAAUGUACAAGGUUCUAGAUUAUGAAAAAUAGUACUUACACAUAUACUCCUCCAAAAGUCAUAAUUAAUGAGUAAAGCUGUAAUUCCAAGCAGGAUAGAGUUUGAGUACUGCCUGUCAGCACUCUUGAGUUUUGAACUAGGUUCAAAUAGAAUAUCUUAGGUUAUCCAUAGUGGAAUUGCCUGGAUUCCUCUGGACCUAUAUUGAUCAAGGGAUUCCCUGG